rnacentral:tRNA from 1 species
AGGAAAAUAGUUCAGUAGGCAGAACAGUGGUUUUCAAAACCAAAGGGCAAGGGUUCAAGUCCCUUUUUUCCUG